AUUGAACGCUGGCGGCAUGCCUUACACAUGCAAGUCGAACGGUAGAGGGCUUCGGCCCUUGAGAGUGGCGAACGGGUGAGUAGAGCAUCGGAACGUACCCUGUCGAGGGGGAUAACGUAGCGAAAGUUACGCUAAUACCGCAUGAGACCUUAGGGUGAAAGUGGGGGACUGGAAACGGCCUCACGCGAUGGGAGCGGCCGAUGUCGGAUUAGCUAGUUGGUGGGGUAAAGGCCUACCAAGGCGACGAUCCGUAGCGGGUCUGAGAGGAUGAUCCGCCACACUGGGACUGAGACACGGCCCAGACUCCUACGGGAGGCAGCAGUGGGGAAUUUUGGACAAUGGGCGCAAGCCUGAUCCAGCCAUGCCGCGUGGGUGAAGAAGGCCUUCGGGUUGUAAAGCCCUUUCGGCCGGGAAGAAAUCGUGCGGGCGAACAGUCUGCAUGGAUGACGGUACCGGAAGAAGAAGCACCGGCUAACUACGUG
rnacentral:rRNA from 1 species